AGAAUCAACGCUGGCGGCGUGCCUAACACAUGCAAGUCGAACGCGGUUACUACUGCUUCGCAAGAAGUAGUAGUGACUGAGUGGCGAACGGGUGAGUAACACGUGGGUGACCUGCCUUCGAGUGGGGGAUAACGUUCCGAAAGGGACGCUAAUACCGCAUGACAUCCUGCCUUUGAAGAGGUGGAUAUUAAAGCUGGGGAUCGUAAGACCUGGCGCUUGAAGAGGGGCCCGCGUCCGAUUAGCUAGUUGGUGGGUAACGGCCUACCAAGGCGACGAUCGGU
rnacentral:rRNA from 1 species